rnacentral:rRNA from 1 species
AUGGGUAAGGACGACGACGGCGUCCAAGCCCUUCCUCUAGUAGCUAGCGCGACAAAUUCGGAGAAUUUGGGAUGGGUGGAGACGGCAGCGUGCGAGAGAGGGAAUGGGAGGAGACGGCGGCAUGGACUGCUCGGUUUGAGAUGGGAGGAGAUGAAGGCUGUCUUUCUGGGGAAGUUUCCUUUCUCUCUUUUUUCAUCGAGGGAGGUGUUACCUGGGGAAGUUUCUCAGGUGAGAUUUUUCUAUCGCCUCGCCACAGUAAAAGUGAUGACCUGGAUAGCACCAGCGUCCUCCUAG